rnacentral:rRNA from 1 species
CCUAGGGGAGGCAGCAGUGGGGAAUUUUGGACAAUGGGGGCAACCCUGAUCCAGCCCUGCCGCGUGAGUGAAGAAGGCCUUCGGGUUGUAAAGCUCUUUCGGCCGGGAAGAAAUCGCACAGGCUAAUACUCUGUGUGGAUGACGGUACCGGCAUAAGAAGCACCGGCUAACUACGUGCCAGCAGCCGCGGUAAU